AUGGGUCAGCGACUUAUAUUCUGUAGCAAGGUUAACCGUAUAGGGGAGCCGAAGGGAAACCGAGUCUUAACUGGGCGUUAAGUUGCAGGGUAUAGACCCGAAACCCGGUGAUCUAGCCAUGGGCAGGUUGAAGGUUGGGUAACACUAACUGGAGGACCGAACCGACUAAUGUUGAAAAAUUAGCGGAUGACUUGUGGCUGGGGGUGAAAGGCCAAUCAAACCGGGAGAUAGCUGGUUCUCCCCGAAAGCUAUUUAGGUAGCGCCUCGUGAACUCAUCUUCGGGGGUAGAGCACUGUUUCGGCUAGGGGGUCAUCCCGACUUACCAACCCGAUGCAAACUGCGAAUACCGAAGAAUGUUAUCACGGGAGACACACGGCGGGUGCUAACGUCCGUCGUGAAGAGGGAAACAACCCAGACCGCCAGCUAAGGUCCCAAAGUCACAGUUAAGUGGGAAACGAUGUGGGAAGGCUCAGACAGCCAGGAUGUUGGCUUAGAAGCAGCCAUCAUUUAAAGAAAGCGUAAUAGCUCACUGGUCGAGUCGGCCUGCGCGGAAGAUGUAACGGGGCUAAACUGUGCACCGAAGCUGCGGCAGCGACGCUUAUGCGUUGUUGGGUAGGGGAGCGUUCUGUAAGCCUGCGAAGGUGUCCUGUGAGGGAUGCUGGAGGUAUCAGAAGUGCGAAUGCUGACAUAAGUAACGAUAA
rnacentral:rRNA from 2 species